UGGCCAUAUAAUUGAUAUUUCCCCCCACAUCUGCAGUAGUCAGACGGUGAAUUUUGUUUGAAGCAUAUCUUUCUUUGAUUUGCCUUUUCCCUAUAUUUUGUUCAAUAGAGCAUGGACUGUGGUUUGAUCAUCUUGAUUCUGAGAUCUAUUGAUUCUUUUGUUGGGCUUCAAUUGUGCCUUUACUUUCAAGCAUAAAAUGAAUCUUCUGAUAGAUGUGGAAGGUUGGUUUAUGUAUCUAGCGGGCGCAGCACUGCUUAAAUAGGUGUGAACACGUGGUAUUCUAGCGAGCAAUAGGGAUGCCAACAUCUUCUAUAGUUAAUUGAAA
rnacentral:sRNA from 2 species